UUUAUUUGAGACGUUUGUCAAGCCUGUCCUUGUUUCGGAAAAACAACACUCACCAGUCCUUAAGAGGCAGAAAGAAAAGAUAAACCAAUUGGUCAUCAUGCUGUACCAAGUGCUACCGGUAAUAGUAGCUAUUUCUUAUGUGAACAGCUACAGCUAAACGACAGUACGGAUGAAGAACUGUUAAUUUAUUUUGAUAAUUUCAAUAAUCGUGAUACUGAAAAAAUAAUUAAAAAAAUAAAUAAAACAUAUAUCUAUCACAA